GCCCCUUCGUUUGUAUUUGUAGAUGAAAUUGAUGCCAUUGCCGGCAGGCAUGCAAGAAAGGAUCCACGGCGCAGAGCAACAUUUGAGGCUCUGAUUGCACAGCUUGAUGGGGACAAGGAGAGAACUGGUGUUGAUCGUUUUUCACUGAGACAAGCUGUGAUAUUUAUUUGUGCUACCAAUAGACCUGAUGAAUUGGACCUUGAAUUUAUCCGCCCUGGACGAAUUGACCGUCGUUUAUACAUUGGUUUGCCUGAUGCACA